rnacentral:rRNA from 1 species
UGAGGAAUNUGGUCAAUGGGCGAGAGCCUGAACCAGCCAAGUAGCGUGCAGGAUGACGGCCCUAUGGGUUGUAAACUGCUUUUGUAUGGGGAUAAAGUCAGUCACGUGUGAUUGUUUGCAGGUACCAUACGAAUAAGGACCGGCUAAUUCCGUGCCAGCAGCCGCGGUAAUACGGAAGGUCCGGGCGUUAUCCGGAUUUAUUGGGUUUAAAGGGAGCGUAGGCUGGAGAUUAAGUGUGUUGUGAAAUGUAGACGCUCAACGUCUGACUUGCAGCGCAUACUGGUUUCCUUGAGUACGCACAACGUUGGCGGAAUUCGUCGUGUAGCGGUGAAAUGCUUAGAUAUGACGAAGAACUCCGAUUGCGAAGGCAGCUGACGGGAGCGCAACUGACGCUGAAGCUCGAAGGUGCGGGUAUCGAACAGGAUUAGAUACCCUGGUAGUCCGCACAGUAAACGAUGGAUGCCCGCUGUUGGUACCUGGUAUCAGCGGCUAAGUGAAAGCAUUAAGCAUCCCACCUGGGGAGUACGCCGGCAACGGUG